AUAUUGUUCACCAAUUCAGGUUGUUACUAGUGUUCUUCUCACUGGUGCCUUCUCUGUUUCCUCUUCCGCUCUCUUCGACGCCGUGCUAAGCAUUCUAAAGAAAUGGGCUAUUCUGAAUGGUUUGUGCUACCUUGCAACAUUUUUUCUUGGAAUCAAUUCUGUUGGUUUGUUCCUUUAUUCUGCCAGGCUUGCUUUCAACUCUUUAAUGGAAGGCGAUACUGACAAAGAAAAUGAAAGUAAAGUAGUGGUCAGUCAGGUUCACCAAAUUCAACAUCUGAUAGUGCUACAGAUGGAGCAGAGUUGACAAGUAGCCAGGGAGAUCAAAAUCCAGACAAUAUACAGAAAUGAAAGAGAGAAUUUACAGGAAUAGGUUUCUGUUCUCAUAACUUUUUUGUAAUUAGAACAAAAAAAAUCAGCAUAAUCAAUCUUAGUCUUGCAACUAUAUUCUGGGGAAGGGGGAGAGAGAGGUUGAUUUCAAGAGGGUUGGUAGAGUGAUUCAAAAUAAGGAAAGAUCAUUUAGCCAGGAACAGUUCACAGACAUCGAGUUUAGCAGUAGAUGAUCUGACCAUGGUUUGAACAGAAAGCCAGUAACUUCAUUUGAAGUUGUCUUGUUUUUGAACUGAAGAGCCUGCUGCAUAUGAUACAAAACUGGACACUGCACUUCACAGUAUGAGCUCAUCUACUCUUAUUUCUAUGAUCUUUGAGAUGCUCGUGGAUGAUAUUUGUUGGAAAUAAAAGCGGAAACAAAGAAUAAGGAGGAAUUGAAGGAUAAA